GGGCGAUGAAGCCCACCGGCCCAAGGAAUGGACUUGGGAGACACCAAGUGCAGCGAGAAGUGAGGCUUUCGUGAUGGUCUUUGCAAGAUCAGCUGCCUGGUGGGGAGGCUCACCCAGAGUCGUUACAGCGGGGGUUUUUAUCCACUUGGCCCACAAGUCCCUCAUGAAUUUUUUUAUUGGGAUGCCACAGGGUUAGCCAUCUUCCUGAGAGGGUCACCUGGAUUUUUUUUUUUUUUUACUCUCCCCAAGUCCUUCUUCUCGUUUUUAUGUUUUGAGUUUACCAGCAGAAUGAAAAUCCUCAGCAUUUCAGUCUCUUCCCUUGUCUGGCUUUUCCUGCGCAAGGAUCCUGAAAGGCUGUUUGGUCAGCAGGCUGUCCCUCUAGGCUGGUUGUCCCUGAAAACGGAGCACUUGGUGUUUUUUGGUUUCACUUCAUAGCGGUGGCUGAUGCUGUGUUCUCCAGGGAAGAGCUGCCUCGAGGCUGCAUGCACCAGAGUGUCGCCUUCUGCGCUCUGGCCUCGGCGAGAAGGACGUGUGUGGCUCCAUCAGGGAAGCCAAGCGACCAGCACAGACCUGCCUCAACAUAUAGAACUCACGGUUCCCUGGCGGCUCAGCAGUAAAAGAAUCAGCCUGCAAUGAAGGAGACCUGGGUUUCGAUCCCUGGGUUGGGAAAAUCUCCUGGAGGAGGGCAUGGCAACCCACUCCAGUAUUCUUGCCUGGAGAAUCCCACGGAGAGAGGAGCUGGGCGUGCUGCAGUCCAUGGGGUCGUAAAGAGUUGGACACGACUGAGCAAUUUAACAUAAUACAAGCAUCCCCUGAGCCUUGUUAGGGCCAGAUCUUUUUUGUUUCUUUUACUUUAUUUACUUUUUUAUUUUUGGCUGGGUCUUGGGCUUCCUCUCGUUACAGCGGGUAGGGGCUGGGUCUUGGGCUUCCUCUAGGAUAGGUAGGGGCUGUCCUCUGGUUCUGCUGAGCAGGCUUCUGAUUGCAGAGGCCUCGCUUGUUACGGAGCACAGGUUUCUGUAGUUGUGUUUCUCGGGCCCUAGAGUGCGGGUCUCAGAAGCUGUGGCUCAGCACGGCCUUAGCAGCCCCGAGGCAUGUGGCAUCUUCCCAGACCAGGGAUCGAACCAGUGUCCCCUGCAUUCCAAGGCAGACUGCCAACCACUGGACCACCAGGGAAGCCCGCUUUGACAUUCCGAAUCUUGGCACAGUAGAAGUUUACAAGCCAGUCGUUGUGUGGAAUACCCCUCAGUUUACCUGGUAAUUUCCUCGUGAACCUGUGUGGGCUGCCCGUCUUCGCCAGAAGGGCAGCACAGAAAUAACGCUCUGUUCUUGUCAUUGUAUUUAGUUGUAGACCAUAGUGUUUUGAGCGUUUCCAUAGCUGCUGACGCUUUGACUAAAGUGAAGUGAAAGUCGGUCAGUCAUGUCUGACUCUGCAUACAGUCCAUGGGAUUCUCCAGGCCAGAACACUGGAGUGGGUAGCCUUUCCCUCCUCCAGGGGAUCUUCCCCACCCAGUGAUCAAACCCAGGUCUCACGCAUUGCAGGCGGAUUCUUUACCAGCUGAGCCACCAGGGAAGCCCAAGAAUGCUGGAAUGGAUAGCGUAUCCCUCCUCCAGCGGAUCUUCUCGACCCAGGAAUCGAAGCAGGGUCUCCUGCGUUACAGGUGGAUUCUUUACCAACUGAGCUAAGGUGGUCCUCAAUUUUAACACUUUAAGCUUUAAAGAAGGUGAGCUCUUUCCUUGAUGCUAGCUCAGCCGGCAACCAGGAUUAGAGUCUGUCAUGAAAUCACACUAUCAGAGUUUUGGAGAUGAGAAACAUCAGUUCCUUCCUUUGACAAGUACCCUAAUAUCUAGAAGGCAGAAUGAGUGCUUACUCUUGUCACGCACACGUCACCUUUAAUCUUGUCCAUGUUGCUUAUUAAAAAACCGAACAAAAGUUGAAUGUUUCUGAUUUAGUUUCACUUAAGGUUUGAAUCUUUUUUUUUCUGGAAAAUUCAUCAAGCUGAGGCGUUUUUGGAGUAAGAACUUCCUAAGUGCUCCUUUAGGAAAAUAGGAAAUCAUAAUUUGGAAACGGGGAUUUAAGGAAUUUUACUUUCCAGAAGACUAUUUCCUAUUCCAUGUCUAGUUUACUUGUGUUUCUGGACAGACCCUCAGAAUACAUAAUAUUUAAUUUAAAGAGUAUAUUUUCUCAUGUCUUAGGUUAUAUUUAUCGAGAAAGGAUAGAUGCUGAAAGUAAACCACGGUUUCUCGCCUUUAGCAUUAUGAUCAUUUAGGCUCGAUAAUUGUGUUUUUUUUUAAUUUACUUUUUAUUGGAUUUCAGUUGCUUUCCAAUGCUGUGUUAGUUGCUGCUGUCCAGCAGAGUGAAUCAGCUAUAUGUACACAUAUAUCCGCUCUUUUUUUUUGGAUCUCCUUCCCAUCGAGGCCACCCCAGGGCACUGAGUAGAUAGAGGUCCCUGAGCUGUACAGUGGGUUCUCAUCACUCACCUAUUUUGUGUGUGUGUGUCUGAGUCUGCAGCCCCAUGGACUGUAGCCCACCGGGCUUCUCGGUCCAUGGAUUUCCCAGGCGGGAAUACUGAAGGAAGUUGCCAUUUCCUACACAGGGGAUCUUCCUUGACCAGGGAUAUAUUUUAAACAUAGUAUCAAUAGCAUGUAUAUGUCAGUCCCAUCUCCCAUUUUAGCCUAUCACCAUCCCUCGCCACCUUGGUAUCCAUGUGUUUGUUCACUACAAUCUGCGUCUCUUAUUUCUUUGGCUGUGUGUCUAUAGUGGGUCCGGUCUGUAACUUACAGGCCAUUUAGCAGCUUCCAUGGCCCCUGCCCACUGGAUCCAGAUGUUCCUCCCAGUUCUGACAACCAGAAAUAGCUCCAAAUGCUGCAACUGUCCCUUUCUGGGUAACAGAAGCAUGGACAAAGAAACUUUGUUCUCUGCUUGAGAACUCCUGAAGCAGAUCAUAGAGUUGUUGCUGCUAAGUCGCUUCAGUCGCGUCCGACUCUGUGCGACCCCAUAGACGGCAGCCCACCAGGCUCCCCCGUCCCUGGGAUUCUCCAGGCAAGAACACUGGAGUGGGUUGCCAUUUCCUUCUCCAAUGAAUGAAAGUGAACAGUGAAAGUGAAGUCGCUCAGUCGUGCCAGACUCUUAGUGACCCCAUGGACUGCAGCCCACCGGGCUCCUCGAUCCAUGGGAUUUUCCAGGCAGGAGUAUUGGAGUGGGGUGCCAUUGCCUUCUCCGCAUAGAGUUGUUAUGUAAUUUUUAUACUUUGUCAUUUAGGAACUAUAGGUGGGGUUAUAGACUUAUAAUUCAAACUUUUAUUCAAGUAGAAUUUUCAGCAUUUCCAUUAUUAAGUGUAGGGACUUUUAAGUAUAAGUUUCAAGAAGAAAGUAGACCAGAUAAGGUUAAAUUUUAAGUAUUUCUAGAGAUGUAUCUUUACAAUACAAUAACAAUAUAUUAAACUAUAAUAUCAAUAUAUAAAAUAUUAAAAUGAAUAUAUAUUAAAAUUAAUGUGUGUUCUCAGGGUGUCCUCAGUUGCUCAGUUGUGUCUGACUCUCUGUGACCCCAUGGACUGCAGCCCACUAGGCUCCUCUGUCCAUAGGAUUCUUCAGGCAAGAAUACCAGAAUGGGUUGCCAUGCCCUCCUCCAGGGGAUCUUCCUGAUCCGGGGAUUGAACUCAUGUCUGCCUGCACUUCCUGUAUUGUAGGCAGAUUCCCUACGCACUGAGCCAUAGCGAGGUCAGCAGCAUUAAAAUUAAAAUAUGUUAAAGUAUCAACAUAUAUUAACACAUUACAAUUUUAAGUAUUUCUGCAGAUACGUUUUUACCCCAUAAUAUAUCUAUAUCUAUAUAUAGAGAGAGGUGUUAUGGGGAUGACGUUUAUUUUUUGCUAAAUUUCAUCAGCAUUUAAACAACAAAUCCACCUUUUUCAUGUCAGUUAGGCCAGUCACGGUUUCCCCGAGUAGACUUUGAUAGAAUUUCUCGUCACACGGAAGGAUGCAUUCUCUGAUCCUGCGUUCACCAGACUGCCUCUGUGCUGGUGGUGACCGCCGAGAAGCUCAGCGCCCAUUCCGGAUGAGAACUUUGGUGGGAAUGUGUUUCCCAGGCGCUUCACCAUCAAAUCGAGACCUGCUGUAAUUGCUUUUCAGUGGUGCCAAGUUUUACUUCUUUUUCAGUCCUCUUCUGUCAGCUUGCCACUGGGAGGACUGAACUGCAAGGAACUGCACAUAAUUUGAAAUGGGUGUGUGUUCCUACAAAAUCCUCUUGGCAGACGAAAUAUUUUUACUGCGUUCACCGUAAAGUGUAGGGAGGAAUGAACAAAUACUUUCCCAUCGUAUCUCUUGAGUCCUUGGACAGGUCAGAAAUGAAGCUUGAGUAACCACAGGUGCUCACAAAAGGAAUGCGAAAAUAUUUCUGAUGUGUUGUUCACCCAUUAUGCAAGUAUUUGCUUUAUUACAGCUAUUGAAAUACCUUCACAAAUAUUUUCUGGCAAAGCGAGCAUUUAUUUUGGAAACAUUUACUUGGCUUUGAAGGUUGCUCUUACUCAAUUGUUUGCUCAGUAGAGGGGAAAAAAUGGGAAAUGCUUUUCAAGUUAUUUGUCACAUGUACCUCUAGUACCCUCGUGAAGAAAUCUUUGGGGUUAGGCUAGUGUUAAAAUGGUUCACAAAUCAAAGAAACAUGAAAGAAAGUGAGGAAAAGCCAAUCUGAUGGCUACAGAAGAUGACAACGUGGUAGAGACUUAAGAAUUAAAAAAAAAAAAAAGAAAACACAAGAGCCCUGAAGAUGAAAACGGAAGAAAAACCAUCAGCAGAUAUGAGAGUAGUGGAAAUUAGCAACAGGAGCAGCUUCACGGGGACAAGGAAUUUCACUUUGUUCUAAGAUUCCUGAUGUUCAGGGUUCCUUCCUCAGGUGUCCGAGGUGAUCAUGGAAACUCAGUAGAUAAGGGUAUGAGGCUGGCUUUGGGUGGAUUGAAUAUAACUUUCUGCUAAACUGGAUUUAUGAACGAAGGAGAAUAUAUCGUUGACUAGAAAAAAAUGCACAACGAGAGAGUUGAGUUAAGUUUUAUUGGAGGCACAAUGAGGACUGUGGCCUGGGAUACAGCCUCUCAGGUGGCUCUGAGGAGCUGCUCCCGAGAGGGCGGGCGGAGGU
ensembl:lncRNA